rnacentral:tRNA from 1 species
AGCGCUUUAGUGUAAGGGCAGCACAUCAGAUUUUGGCUCUGAUAGUGUAGGUUCAAAUCCUGCAAGCGCCG